rnacentral:rRNA from 1 species
GACGAACGCUGGCGGCGUGCUUAACACAUGCAAGUCGAACGGAAAGGCCCUGCUUUUGUGGGGUGCUCGAGUGGCGAACGGGUGAGUAACACGUGAGUAACCUGCCCUUGACUUUGGGAUAACUUCAGGAAACUGGGGCUAAUACCGGAUAGGAGCUCCUGCUGCAUGGUGGGGGUUGGAAAGUUUCGGCGGUUGGGGAUAGACUCGCGGCUUAUCAGCUUGUUGGUGGGGUAGUGGCUUACCAAGGCUUUGACGGGUAGCCGGCCUGAGAGGGUGACCGGCCACAUUGGGACUGAGAUACGGCCCAGACUCCUACGGGAGGCAGCAGUGGGGAAUAUUGCACAAUGGGCGGAAGCCUGAUGCAGCAACGCCGCGUGCGGGAUGACGGCCUUCGGGUUGUAAACCGCUUUCGCCUGUGACGAAGCGUGAGAGACGGUAAUGGGUAAAGAAGCACCGGCUAACUACGUG